rnacentral:misc_RNA from 1 species
GUGAAUCAUCGAAUUUUUGAACGCAAAUUGCACUCUCUGGUAUUCCGGGGAGUAUGCCUGUUUGAGGGUCAGUUUAAAUUAAAAAUCGAGGUGUUGCUUUUGUUUUUUACUCAUCGGAAUUUGGUUAUCUUUGUCCUUUGGAUUUUUUAGGAGACCUAAAUUUGAUACUGUUUGCAUCUCAGACGUACAUAAAGAAGAUUUUUUUUUUUUUUCUGUCCGGAUUUGCGAAGUUUGUAUUAGUGAUGAAUAUGU